rnacentral:lncRNA from 1 species
GUUUCACAGCAGCACAUGUGUAAUCCUGCUGCGUCACAGCUCCACAACUCAGAAAAUGCACGUUUCUCAGGAUGGAAAGAGACCCAGGGAGUCCUCGUCUCUGAGGAAAUCCCAGAAGCCAUUCAGCAGUGCAGCACAUUGGUUUCUACACAAAAAUGGAAGCUGGAAGCCAGUUGUCCUUCCUGGGAUCACAGCUACACCACUUUUCUCAGCAUAUUCUGCAGUUUUGGAAGCCUUUUCUGUCUGAGAACUUAUCUGAGGAAGUGGAGACAAUUUGGUGAAACAAGCACAGAAAUUAAAGCGAGUAACAUCAAAGAAAAAUACCAUCAGAGUUAUGCGGGUUUCUUUUUAAUUGAAAUUUAUAAUUGCUCUUAA